CCUACGGGAGGCAGCAGUGGGGGAUAUUGCACAAUGGGGGGAACCCUGAUGCAGCGACGCCGCGUGGGUGAAGGAGCGUUUCGGCGCGUAAAGCCCUAUCGGCAGGGAAGAAGAUGACGGUACCUGAGUAAGAAGCCCCGGCUAACUACGUGCCAGCAGCCGCGGUAAUACGUAGGGGGCAAGCGUUAUCCGGAUUUACUGGGUGUAAAGGGAGCGUAGACGGCAGUGCAAGUCUGGAGUGAAAGGCGGGGGCUCAACCCCCGGACUGCUCUGGAAACUGUACGGCUUGAGUGCAGGAGAGGUAAGUGGAAUUCCUAGUGUAGCGGUGAAAUGCGUAGAUAUUAGGAGGAACACCAGUGGCGAAGGCGGCUUACUGGACUGUAACUGACGUUGAGGCUCGAAAGCGUGGGGAGCAAACAGGAUUAGAUACCCCUGUAGUC
rnacentral:rRNA from 1 species